rnacentral:rRNA from 1 species
GAGUUUGAUUAUGGCUCAGAUUGAACGCUGGCGGCAGGCUUAACACAUGCAAGUCGAACGGUAGCAGGAGAAAGCUUGCUUUCUUGCUGACGAGUGGCGGACGGGUGAGUAAUGCUUGGGAAUCUGGCUUAUGGAGGGGGAUAACUACUGGAAACGGUAGCUAAUACCGCGUAAUAUCGAGAGAUUAAAGACUGGGACCUACGGGCCAGUUGCCAUAAGAUGAGCCCAAGUGGGAUUAGGUAGUUGGUGGGGUAAAGGCCUACCAAGCCCGCGAUCUCUAGCUGGUCUGAGAGGAUGACCAGCCACACUGGAACUGAGACACGGUCCAGACUCCUACGGGAGGCAGCAGUGGGGAAUAUUGCACAAUGGGGGGAACCCUGAUGCAGCCAUGCCGCGUGAAUGAAGAAGGCCUUCGGGUUGUAAAGUUCUUUCGGUGGUGAGGAAGGUAUCAACUUUAAUAGAGUUGGUAAUGAC